ACGAAUUUGUCUGGAUAUCAUCACUUUUUAAAGAUAAACAAGCAGCUCCAUCGAGUCUUGGCUAGUUUUUUACAGAAUGUUUUUGGUGGGAUAAUCUAUUAUAUAAAAAUAAGUCGGGUUUUCCUUCCUGACGCUAUAACUCCAGAACGCACGAACCGAUUUCCAAGGUUUUGCAUUCGUUGGAAAGGUUUCGGACUCUGUGAGGUUUAUAGC